UUUGCACGAAUUUACAAUUUUACAUUAGAUUUGCUUUGAAUAAUAUAAAUUAUAAUCUAAAGCACCUUCAACAACACUAAUAGAUCCUAGUUAUUAAUAAAUGAUGAUAAGAACAUGAGUAGAAUCUAAGGAACCAAAUGUUAAUCCAAAAAAUCCUAAACAUAUUCAAAAUUCUAAUGGUUGCUCCUCCAAAGAAAGCUGAUCCAAAUUGCCCAGGAAGACCACACGGUUGUUACCAAACAUUUGUCUUCGCUCUGAUUUUGAUGUCUCUAAGCUUAUCUGGGAGCUUCCGUCAGGCGGCUUCUAACUGGGAGAUUCCAGCCCAAAAUUUGUUAAUUCAAAAGAAUAAUCAAAGAAAAUCCGAGGCCCUCCAACCAUGAGCUGACUCACAACUAAUGGCGUAUUCUAACUGUAUGGCGUAUUCAAACAAUAUUGAGCAUGCGCACAGAAUCCUACGGAGGCUCUGGAGAACAACUAGCGCCGUUCACAUCAAGGACUCAAAGGGUAGUGAGCUCACGCGGCAUUUCACUUGUGCAUAGUAUAGUAUAUUCAACUUGUGCAUAGUAUAGUAUAAAGUUCAUGCUGAUCUAACAAGUACAUGCAUAUUACAACUAGAAUCAUGAGUGUCGGGGGUUUCGAACGACACUAGAACCGCAACUGCUACUCCAAACCAGAUUUCAAAAGAUUCCAGAGCCACUGCUCAGUCCUCUCCUACCUGCUCAACCUCGUGACCUCUACUUGUGUACUAUUCAAAACAGAGCUUGCGCCAACAACAAAAGACCAAAACAAAAUCUGAAGGACGGCCUCCGCUCUCCUCUUCAUACAAAAUCUGCUACCUCUGUGCCUUCUCCCAA
rnacentral:lncRNA from 1 species